UACGUAGGGGGCAAGCGUUGUCCGGAUUUAUUGGGCGUAAAGAGCGUGUAGGCGGCCAUACAGGUCAGCUGUGAAAACUCGAGGCUCAACCUCGAGACGUCGGUUGAAACCGUAUGGCUAGAGUCCGGAAGAGGAGAGUGGAAUUCCCGGUGUAGCGGUGAAAUGCGCAGAUAUCGGGAAGAACACCAGUGGCGAAGGCGGCCCGCUGGGCAGUGGCUGACGCUGAGGCGCGACAGCGUGGGGAGCAAACAGG
rnacentral:rRNA from 1 species